rnacentral:rRNA from 1 species
UACGGGGGGGGCAAGCGUUGUUCGGAAUUACUGGGCGUAAAGGGCGCGUAGGCGGCCUUCUAAGUCAGACGUGAAAUCCCCAGGCUUAACUUGGGAACUGCGUCUGAUACUGGGAGGCUUGAAUGCGGGAGAGGGAUGUGGAAUUCCAGGUGUAGCGGUGAAAUGCGUAGAUAUCUGGAGGAACACCGGUGGCGAAGGCGACAUCCUGGACCGGUAUUGACGCUGAGGCGCGAAAGCCAGGGGAGCAAACGGG